rnacentral:rRNA from 1 species
UACGAAGGGGGCUAGCGUUGCUCGGAAUCACUGGGCGUAAAGGGCGCGUAGGCGGGCCUUUAAGUCAGGGGUGAAAUCCUGGAGCUCAACUCCAGAACUGCCUUUGAUACUGAGGGUCUUGAGUCCGGGAGAGGUGAGUGGAACUGCGAGUGUAGAGGUGAAAUUCGUAGAUAUUCGCAAGAACACCAGUGGCGAAGGCGGCUCACUGGCCCGGUACUGACGCUGAGGCACGAAAGCGUGGGGAGCAAACAGG